GAUUUCAUCAAACUUCUUACUAAUUCUUGUUAUAAGAUCCUUCCAUUACUACAUCUAAGUGAAUUAGGUAUAGCAUGAUUUAGUCACCAAAAUAUAUCAAACUGGGUAAAACUUUUAAUGCAUUCUCUACUUAUGUUGCCAAAGAUGUGAACAUUAGGUAAAAUGCCUCUCUGUGCAAGUAUAUAGGUUAGACUCACAUCAUAAUGCUCGAUAAUGAGGGAAGAAGCCCCAAUAGAAAUAUUGAAAGGGAAAAAUGCUUCGACUGUUGUGUUCCUAGAUGAAUCAUCAAGUCCAAGAAGACUCCUAAUUUCCAUUGGAGGUCUUACUUUGGCUACGUUAUGGUGAAUUAAUAUAUUUGUAAACCAUGAUAUAUCGAGUCCAUAUCUCUUGCAGAUCAUUCCCAUUUUGAAAUAGUGAUUCAACGAUUACAAGCUGCUGCUCAGGCAGAGAAGAAUUCUGAUGGAGACAUGGCUUCAGUUGCUAUGACAGAUGAGGAAGAGGUAACUCAUGAAGAAAAUGAAGAAGUAGCAAAAUCAGACCAGAAAGUAGAA